UCUCCGUUGGUGAACCAGCGGAGGGAUCAUUACAGGACUCGCAAGACUCCUACAACCCUGUGAACUUAACUAUAAGCACGUUGCUUCGGCGGGUGUCUCGGAGGGGGUUCUCCCUCCCCGAGACGCUAAACCCGCCGGCAGCCUACUAUACUCCGUCUCUCUGCGUUGGCAUCUCGAGUACAAUCAAACAAGUUAAAACUUUCAACAACGGAUCUCUUGGUUCUG
rnacentral:misc_RNA from 1 species